GACGUAGGGCGCGAGCGUUGUCCGGAUUUAUUGGGCGUAAAGAGCUCGUAGGCGGCUUGUCGCGUCGUUCGUGAAAACCUGCAGCUCAACUGCAGGCUUGCGGUCGAUACGGGCAGGCUAGAGUUCGGUAGGGGAGACUGGAAUUCCUGGUGUAGCGGUGAAAUGCGCAGAUAUCGGGAAGAACACCUAUGGCGAAGGCAGCUCUCGUGGGACGGUACUGACGCUGAGACGCGAAAAGCGUGGGGGAGCGAACAGG
rnacentral:rRNA from 1 species